CGAGUCCAGGGAUCGAACCUGCAACCUCAUGGUUCCUAGUUGGAUUUGUUUCUGCCGCGGCGACACAACGGGAACUCCUAGUCUGGCUUCUUUUCUGUAUGCACUUGGUGGUAUUGAUGCUAGAGUAACAUCUACCACUUUGGGGGCACUUACCAUGUAAUUUAUAUGCACGUUGUUACACAGUUAGAUCCUCACACAACCCUGGGUGCAAAGUUUUGCUCCUGUUAUUUCCAGCUAAGGAAACUGAGGCCCAGGGAGGGCAGGUCACUUGCCCAUAUUCCUAUUCUGAGGGUGUGCAGCACUGGGCUUUGAACAGAGACCUGUUCGACUCCUAAGCCCUCCACUAUGCUUUGGGAGGUCUGGGAAAGGUCAAAGCUCCUUCCUUCAUGGAGCCCACCUCCCUGCUCCAGGUGGCCACCUUCCUGGGCACAGAGAGACCCUCCCUCAGUUCUGUCUCCAGAAAACUGAAACUCUUUCAGCAGCUUCUAGUCUCAGCCACCAGCACAGCUUUCCUGCACCCAGGAGCACCAGCAAUCAGCUCUUUUUGUGCAACUGUGUGUGUUCAAGUUUUCUUUGGAGGCGCUUCACGGAAAAUAUUAGCCCAUGAAUGAAACAACUGUUCAGAGAUGCCAUCCAAAGAGGCCCAAGCAUCUCAGGAAUCGUCGAGGGUGAAAACGGCACAUGAGGGUCAAGGUUCCAGGCAUAGACCUGGGACAAAGCAAACACCAUGUCCGUCCUUGAGCCCACAAGUAGCUGUUUGGGGACCAGGUCAUCUGGGAGAAUCUCAUGACAAAUGAAGCCAGAGGACAUUGCUUUUCUGAUUUGAGGUCAGCUCGGGCACAGAGGAAGAGUAUGGGCGGCUGGCCUGGGAACCAUCAUGUCACCUUUAGCAACCAGGAGUGCCCUUGCUCACCCUUGAAAAUGCACUUGCCUUUGCUGUGGACGGAAGGCCCAGACCUACCACCUCCUCCAUGGGUUCUCUUCAGCCUGUGGGCCUGCGCACAAUGAGCUGAAGUUCUGGGGUACCCACCAUGGGGCAGGGGCCCGUGGGGGACCCAGGAAGUCCAGUGUGGGAGCCGAAGCUUGCAAGCAUGACCAGUAUCCCUAAGGAGGAGGAAGCCAAGAAGGAGAUGCCUUCAGUCCUCUGCUUGUCACCUGCUAGAGAACUAGAAUGCUUGGUGGGGGUUGGCCUUCCUGUCUCCAAACUGCCAUCCAUUUUGACAUCACUGUCACCUGCACUCAGUGUCUGACUCUUCAUCUCUAUCGACCAGCUUGCCAUGGCCAUUGGGAGUCCGCUGCGUGGCCAGGUUAACAUUCACCUCCCGGGGAGUUAGAUCCCUUGCAUUAUCCAGCCGUGACGACCUGUCCAGGAAGCCAGAUUCCAUGCCCCCCAUGAGGAAUUUCAUCCACAUUCAAAAGUGGAUGCCAUCCAGGGACAGGUGGGACACUAGCUGAGAGAGAACAGCCACCGAGGAGCCUAAGAAGGUAUACUAGGUGUGUGUCUCACAUGGCUACCUUCUUGGCCCCUUUCGAAUUCCUUAGAUACAAGCCUGCCAGCACUGCUGUAGGAAGGCUUGGCUUCUUGUUUUGGCUGCAUCGCUUCCUCAAAUGUGUGAUGUGGGCAGAGAUACAGUGAGGCUGCAUGUUAAUAGGAAAUGACCCUUUCAGGCUUCAAGACAGAUGGACACAUUUGAAUUCUGGCACUUGAAAAUGUGAGGCUUCUUCCUUCAGCCGGCUGGAAGGGAGAGCUCAUCUAUCAGCCGAGGAGGUCUCUGAAACAGCGACACUCAUCCACUAGCUUGGAAAAUGCUAUUUAAUUGAGUAGAAUGGGAGUUUUGAGCUGGGCUGUUCCAGCUUAAAAGGCCCUAAAUUCACCCCUCCUCUUUUUUUUUCUAGGAAGGGGGGUGUUUCCUCCCAAGAUCUCUCCAAAAUUCUUCUUAUAAACAACCCCAGGAAACUGGCUGCAAGCAGUCGAUGGAGUCCCACUAGUCCUUCAUAAUCCCAGUGUGCCAAGAGCCCCGUCCAGCUGUUAUUAAUGGAGGAGAUGGAUGGAUGGAUUGGUGGGUGAAUGUAUGGGUGAGAGAGCUGUUCAGUUUUGUAAAUACCUGAGAGACAUUGUCCAGUCAUCUAACAUCCUUAAAUACCCCCUUUCCAACAGGUAAUCAAGGAAAUCAUUGCUGUGGGGUUUUACUGUCUUGAAUAAGUUUCUCCAACAUGCAUUUUUCCUGUCCCUGACAGAGCCACCCUCUCCGAUUCCCCCACCCUUCUGGCUUAUUAUCAGCUCCAGGCUGUCUCUUUGCGUUAAAGCGACAAGAAGCAGCACAAAGCUGACGACAGGAGUCUGGAGCUGUAAUUUGCACUGACAUUCAUCGGCGUUACCCACUUAUUGCUGAUUAUACAAGGACAGUUUUACAUGCACACAGAACAGCUUUUAACUCCGAUGUGGAAUCCCCAAAGUGACACAAUUCUUAUUUCCCAACUUAUCCAUGGAUUUCUAGUUCAUCGCUACCAGAACAAUGGGGAUAUGGCAUCAGACUGUUCUUAUUUCACUUCUUGGCAAGGUGUGGUGUGCCUGCAACGGCCAGGCGUGGUCUGGAUGCUUUGUAUGCUUGAAUCCAUUGAAUCCCUCUUGACAAUCCCACACAGCAGUUGGCGUGUAUCCCCUUAAUGGUGAAAAGGUUACAAAAAGGUGCAGGUGUGUGCAUGCCCGUGCCUUCCCCCUGGGUGGGAGGGGCUCCUUAUGUCACUCUUCCUUCAGACAGCCUGCCUUCUGGUCCAGUUCCGGUGAGUCACCCAACGCGUCUUGUGUUCUUAAUUUUCUCUUUGCAAAAUGAAUGUGAUCAUCCGGGCCUCUCCACCUCAUAAGAUGGUUGUAUGCUGCAGCUAACUCCUGCCUGUAAAACCCCAGGUGAAUGCUAAUUACUGUCAUUGCGAGCACACCAGGGCUUUCUGGUAGAGGUGAGUCACCGUGGCUGUGACAUCACUAGCAAGACUCAUGUAAGAAAGGAAUGGCCUCCUGGGACAAGAUUUCAUAUGAAGGCUUCUCUUCCCAAGAACCUUCCUCCUGCACAGUUUCCAGGAGUGUCGGAGGGUGGAAUCGUGUAUCCUUCUGCUGUUGUUGGUAGCCAGUGACUUGGUAACGUACCAUAGGGGCAUUUGUUUCUCACGCAUACAUUUCAGCUGGGGUUUGGCUGAUCUUGGCUGGGAUCAGCUGGGUUGGGUUCCAGGCCUCAGUCUGGGGCCGGGUCUCUUUCACGUGCCUCUCAUCCUUCCGGGACUGGCAAGCUCGCUGGGGCAUGUUCUCCGGGUGCUGGGAGAGGCCUUAAGGGGACACACCCAGUCGCACACGCACAUUUUAAACCACUGUCUGCGUCACAUCUGCUCAUAUCCUCCAGCUGAGCCCCAAAUCAUGGGGCAGGGGAGUGUUUCCCUCCCCAGAUUGUGGGAGGAUCUGCAAAGGUACCAGCAAAAGGUGUGGAUGCCACAGAAGGUGAGCAGGAUCGAGGCUAAUAAUUCAGCCUGGCAUGAGGAGGGUGGGGAAGCUGUUAGCUCUCUGACUGUCCAGACUAAAGGUGGGGAGGGAAGAGGUUGGAAGCCCGGGCUGUGACCUUUUGGAGGCCGCUGGGAAACGCCUACCCUGGAUCCCUUCAUUCACACAACCAGCAUUUAUUGGGGGUUGGCUUUGGAACUUGGUGAGGCUCUGAGCUGGGACACAGUGAGAAUGAAGGCAGGACUCUAUUCCCUCUGGUUGUUUUCCUAAUACAUUUUCUUUCCAAACCUGCAGCCUGUUGCCACAUUUUAAAUGCACUCUCACUUGCUGUGUUGCUGCCUCUUGUGUUGCCAUGGUUUUAAAAGGUUGCGUGUAUUUUUAUCAUCUCAUGACCAUAUCUCAAGCACAUCCCUCGUGUAAAUAUCUCUAUGAUCAGAGUUCUCCCUGGGAGGAUCAAGUGGAUGUGUCCCCAGCCUGGACUGUCAGGGCCUGUCUGAUGGUGUGGUCUGUUGCCUAGGAAGGAGGGGCCAUCUGCCAGGACAGCACCUGAGGGGCGUGGGGAGUGGGGGGGCUCUUUCAGCUGUGCAGGGCUCGAUGAGGAGAUGCCUCCCAGAGAUGGCGGGUUUGGAGAGCUGCAGAGACCGAGCCAAGACUUGGCAGCUGGGAGGCAGCUGGCCAUGCAUGGGGCAUGAGCUGUGGCUCUGGAGUGAGCGAGGAGUGACAAGGCAUGAGGAAGUGCUGGCUGACAGGAAGCAAGUGGAACAGGAAGCGAUCCCCCCAGGACCAAGCCCCUGACUGACCAACUGUCCCUUGACAUUCUCUAUGCCACAGUCUAAGUCUUAACAGGGAUGGACAGGCCCUGGCUGGAGGGCUGAAGAGACUGAGCGCGCCCUGCAACCCUGGAUGAUGGGAACUAGUGUAGACCGAAAGCUUUACCCCAGCAAGAGAGUCUGGGGUGUGAAGACUCUUCUUACUUGGAAUCAGAUGAUGUGGCACAGCUACAAAACAGGAGUCUCCUUUUCCUUCUGAAGAGAAACAAAUAUGUACGAAAAAAACAAGGAAAGAGAAAACCUGGUGGGGCAUUCUGCCAAAUCAUGGCAGAUGUCCCUGUCAGGUUGGCAUCUGCCUUGCAAGAGCUUACUAUAACCAUCAAAAGUCAAGGCUAAUUAUUCAAAAAUCAUCAGACACUUCCCCAAACACCUGACCAGCACUGCUCCAAACCAUCAAGGUCAUCAAACACCAAGUCAGAGAAACUGACUGCCACCGCCAAGAGGAGCCUGGGGAGACAAAAGGAUGGGAUCCUGGAACAGAAGAAGACAUUGAGUAUAAGUGAAGGAAAUCCACAUAAACUGAGGGACUUAGGUUCAUAAUCGUGAUCGAUCCUAGUUCAUUAAUUGGAACAAAUAUCCCAUCUUAAUGGAAGAUGUUUAUUACAGGGGAAAUGGGUUGUGGGAUGCAUUGGAACCCUCUGUGCUAUCUUUUAAAUUUUUCUGUAAACCUGAAACUGUUCUAAAAAAAUAAAGGCUAUUAAAAAAAUCAAUUCAAGGGUUGAAAGCACGGACUUGGAAGCCGGGCCACCUGGAGUCCAGUCCCAGGUGCCUCUUCGCCUGGGAAGGAUCACUCACCCCUUUCUGUCGUGCCUCAGUUUCCUUGCUCUGGAAAAUGGGAAUAAUUAUACUACCUCUGAUUGUCCUGGGGACUAAAUGAGUUAAAAUUUGUCAUACUCUGGAAGAGUGCCUGGCCCUGGACAAGGGCUCCAAGUGCUUAUUUAGCCCAAAAAUAAAAGUAAAGAUGAGGGUUCACUCACACGUUCUUUACAACAUGAGGAUACAUACAUUAGCUGAGUUUUAAUUUGUCUAAAAAAAAAAAGAGAGCAUGUUCAGGGCUUAGUUACUGUCCCAGAAAUCCCGAGAUACUGCCCACUCCUGCCAGCUUGGCCUGAAUGUGGUUCUUCUUUCUCCCAAUGGUUUCCCAUUCUUUGCCAGGUUCUGGAGGGAUGACUCAGCCUGGAAAGCUCCCGUCAGAAGUCACAUCAGCACAGGCAGAUACACCAUCCCCUUGCCUGCCCUACCUUCCCUUCCUCCCCAGGGUAGGUUCCAGCAAUACUCUGAGACACCUGCAACCCCGCCUCCCUCACCCAGACAUGUGGCCCCGACACCUCCAGCUGUCUCUCCUGCCUGCACUGAUGCGUGUCCAGCUCAGAGAGCCUUGAUGAAGAGGGGACAGCACCGCCCAACAGGAAGCUUGGGAAAUGCGUGUGUUCCUCAUCGCUCAGGAAGAACAAUCCUGAACUUUGUCCAAACGGUUGAAAGCUUGAUGCGAGUCAUCUUCCUGUGAGCAUCUGGAAAAAAGCCUGUGUCCAAGCAGACCUGGAAGCACACAUCUGCUGUUUCCUUCAGUCAAGACCUUGAAUUCCUGGAGCUGUUUCCUGCUCCUGCCCCCGACGGCCCCGACUCAUGGCCAUGCUCCCUUGCUGGGGCUGCCAGGUAAAACAGAAGCCAAGCACUGCAGUGUGGCAGUGAUGGAAGAUCUAAAGCUACAGGAUGAAGCCGAAUCUCCCCAAGCUCUUCCUCAGUGGGUUCCUUCACUUUUUUCUUUUUCUUUUCUUUUCUUUUUUUUUUUUUUUUUUGU